GGUCCUGUAGUGUACUGGUUGUGCACACCAGAUUGUCAAUCUGGAGGUGCGGGUUCGACUCCCGUCAGGACCG
rnacentral:tRNA from 1 species